rnacentral:lncRNA from 1 species
UUUCUAGCUGAUAGAGAAACCAUUACAUUUCUUCUCCAUCCCCCAAAACCAACCCCUGAGAAAGGGUUGGUGACCAAAGAUAUACCAGGAACAUCAGACGACAUAAGAAACAAAGGGUUUGUGGGGCUAGGAACAAAUGCUGUAGGUUCAGAAGUAGAAUCUUCAUCAUUUCCCACCAUUUUGACUACUGAAUGUGUUGAAGACCCAAACAGAUCAACAAAACUCAAUUACAGAUUCAAAACUCACCAACAAUCGGUUGAAAACUCAAAAAUAGGCCACAAAUCGUAACUACAAACUCAAGCUAACCAACAAUAGCAACUACAAAUUCAUCAAAUCAACAAAUCGUGACUACAAAAACAACUAACACAAUAUCCACCAAAAAAAA